rnacentral:rRNA from 1 species
AUGGGUUGGCUCUGCUGUUCGGGAAGGCUUGCGCUGGGAUCCUUGUCGUCUUCGGAUCAAGAAACCUCUGCUUGCCAUGAGGAGGAGGGGGAGGAGAAGCAGCAGCAGCAGCAGCCGCCGAAGUUGCAAUCCGUUGGGAUGGGAAAUAAGCGGAGCAGGAAGACGGCGCCGGAGAUCGCCGGCGAAGGCGGGAAGGGUGGUAGGCCGCCGCCGCUGGCCGCCAAGGAGACAACAUUGUCUGACAAGGGGAAAUCAAAGGCAAGUGGCCCGACAUAUUAUUACUUCCUUGAUGCUUGCAAAACCUUCAAAGCAGAAUCAGGGAAGUCACCAGGGACUUCGAGUACCCCGAAAACUGCAAUUUCUCGCAUAAGGUCCUGUAUUGCUGCCAAAGAAACUAGGACAAUAGAGAUCAUGGCCUUUGAGGUUGCCAACACAAUUGGCAAGGGCUACAAUCUGAUGACAUUCCUCUCUGAACAAAGUUUGAGGAACCUGAAGUCUGCGGUGCUUCAGUCCCAAGGUGUCCGAUGCUUGGUUUCAGAUGAUUGCAACAAGUUGCUUGCUCUUGUCGGAGCCGAAAAAAGGGAGGAGUUUAGGGAGUUUGCUACAGAUGUUGCUCGGUACGGAAACCUAUGCAGAGAUCCGAAAUGGCACAACUUGGAUCAGCAUUUCUCGAGGUUGGAGUCUGAACCCACACAUCAGAAAUACUCUAAAGAAGCAGCAGCUUCCAGUAUGCAGUAUCUCAUGGCGCUUGCGGAGCAGACAGUGCAAUUGUACCAUGGAAUGCGUCGGUUCGACAUCUCCGAGGAGAUAUACAAGAAAAAUUAUCAAGAGCAUAUGGAAGGACAGGAGGAGCAAUUCUGUUCAAUCCAAUCUCUUUCGAACGCUGUGGAGAUCGAAAGAAAAUUCGUCAAGGACUUGAAGAAGCAAACACUUUGGAUGAAGAAGAUGGAACAUGUUGUGGAAAAACUUGUUUGUGUUGUACAUUUCUUGCGGUUAGAGAUAAAAAAUGUCUUCAAGAAAUACGAAGAUGAAUCAGUGGAAGUGAAACGGACGAUUCAGCUAACUUUAGGGUCUGCCGAUCUCGCGCUGCAUUAUGCGAACAUCAUUUUCAAGAUAAAGAGUUUGGCAUCAUUUGUACCGUCAAUUCCGAAGAGCGGCAUUGAUUCAUUGUACCAAGCGUUGCCUCCUUGUGUCAGAUCAGCCAUACAAACCAAGUUGAAAUGUCACGAGUACAAAGAAAAGAGGACAGUUGAACAGCUCACAUAUGACAUGAACAAGACAAUGAAAUGGCUCUUGCCCAUGGCAGAAUCCACAAUAAGGGUGGGGCGUCGAAUGCUUGGCGAAUGGCAGGACCAAGGGGCGCCCAACGGAACCAAUGGCGGGAAGGCGCUCAAGAUUCAGACGCUAUACCAUGCCGACAAGGAGAAGACCGAACACUACAUUCUAGACAUGGUGCUGGAUCUCCACCAUCUCAUAUGUGCGAUCCAUGCGAGGCUCGACAAGUUCUUGAACAGUACUUCUGAUCGGUCGGAGAUGCAGGAGGCGAGCAAUUCAGUUAGCACUAGCCCAGGUGGACCGGCCAGCCCUUUUCACCGUGGAAGGGAUAGCCCCCGGAUCCCCAUAUCAAUGAUAACUGUACAGGACAGUAUACAGCGUUAG